CGGGUGGUCCUCAGGUGAUUCAUAGUAACCGAACGGAUCGCAUUAUGGCCUUUUGGUCGGCGAUGGAUCAUUCAAGUUUCUGACCUAUCAGCUUUCGACGGUACUGUAUUGGACUACCGUGGCAGUGACGGGUAACGGGGAAUUAGGGUUCGAUU
rnacentral:rRNA from 1 species